GAUGAACGCUGGCGGCGUGCCUAAUACAUGCAAGUCGAGCGAACGGACGAGAAGCUUGCUUCUCUGAUGUUAGCGGCGGACGGGUGAGUAACACGUGGAUAACCUACCUAUAAGACUGGGAUAACUUCGGGAAACCGUAGCUAAUACCGGAUAAUAUUUUGAACCGCAUGGUUCAAAAGUGAAAGACGGUCUUGCUGUCACUUAUAGAUGGAUCCGCGCUGCAUUAGCUAGUUGGUAAGGUAACGGCUUACCAAGGCAACGAUGCAUAGCCGACCUGAGAGGGUGAUCGGCCACACUGGAACUGAGACACGGUCCAGACUCCUACGGGAGGCAGCAGUAGGGAAUCUUCCGCAAUGGGCGAAAGCCUGACGGAGCAACGCCGCGUGAGUGAUGAAGGUCUUCGGAUCGGAAAACUCUGUUAUUAGGGAAGAACAUAUGUGUAAGUAACUGUGCACAUCUUGACGGGACCUAAUCAGAAAGCCACGGCUAACUACG
rnacentral:rRNA from 1 species